ACUAAGUUUGUUCUCUCUGUCCUCCUGUGUAUGACCUCAGCCUGAUACUUGACAAAGUCCCUGGGUGUCGCAUUUUGGAUCUCCCCGUGGAGAUCUUCAUUGCCUCCUCAGAACCCUGUUCCAUUGGUUUCCUGCAUCUCCCUGUCAUCGGACCCUCUGUUCCUCUGCUCCGCCCGUCCAUUGCUCUACAGUGCUGUGUUGAUGACCUCUCCCUGUGCAGUAACCAGUAUAAGAAAAAAUAAACUUUUUUCCUUUUUGUAUA